UGGUGGAGUGAUUUGUCUGCUUAAUUGCGAUAACGAACGAGACCUUAACCUGCUAAAUAGCCAGGCCCGCUUCGGCGGGUCGCCGGCUUCUUAGAGGGACUAUCGGCUCAAGCCGAUGGAAGUUUGAGGCAAUAACA
rnacentral:rRNA from 1 species